UCCAUCUUCAUUUAUCCAGUAAAGAAAAAGAUUCAUAGUUCCCACUUCAGUGAUCUGAUGGUCCUCUCCAUAGAGCCACAGGACCUGCUGACACCCAUUAUCUACUGCUUCACAUUGGGCAAAAAGAGAUGAGCCGUAAUUCCCUCCCAUCUUGCAGUCCCCAGUUCCACCUUUCCAGGCUCUUACAUACUUGGGAUUGGCCC
rnacentral:lncRNA from 1 species